GGCCCACCCCUUCGGCUCUGGGCCCCGCCUCGUGGUGCCGGCUGGUUCUUCGCGCUCGCCCGACUUCCCAGCGGCCCCGUGCGGCCCGGGCAUGCCCAGUGCGGGCGCAGCGGCCCCGGCCCUGGAAGCGCCCCGGCGGAGCUGGCCCGCGGUGGGCUAGGGGCAGGGCCGGAGCCGCGGCGGCGGAACUGCGGAUCCUUCAUGAUGAGAGAUUUGGGGACACUUCUCUCUCCUGUGUGUAGUUGAUAGUUUGGUGGUGAAGAGAUGGCUGACAGUGUCAAAACCUUUCUCCAGGACCUUGCCAGAGGAAUCAAAGACUCCAUCUGGGGUAUUUGUACCAUCUCAAAGCUAGAUGCUCGAAUCCAGCAAAAGAGAGAGGAGCAGCGUCGAAGAAGGGCAAGUAGUGUCUUGGCACAGAGAAGAGCCCAGAGUAUAGAGCGGAAGCAAGAGAGUGAGCCACGUAUUGUUAGUAGAAUUUUCCAGUGUUGUGCUUGGAAUGGUGGAGUGUUCUGGUUCAGUCUCCUCUUGUUUUAUCGAGUCUUUAUUCCUGUGCUUCAGUCGGUAACAGCCCGAAUUAUCGGUGACCCAUCACUACAUGGAGAUGUUUGGUCGUGGCUGGAAUUCUUCCUCACGUCAAUUUUCAGUGCUCUUUGGGUGCUCCCCUUGUUUGUGCUUAGCAAAGUGGUGAAUGCCAUUUGGUUUCAGGAUAUAGCUGACCUGGCAUUUGAGGUAUCAGGGAGGAAGCCUCACCCAUUCCCUAGUGUCAGCAAAAUAAUUGCUGACAUGCUCUUCAACCUUUUGCUGCAGGCUCUUUUCCUCAUUCAGGGAAUGUUUGUGAGUCUCUUUCCCAUCCAUCUUGUCGGUCAGCUGGUUAGUCUCCUGCAUAUGUCCCUUCUCUACUCACUGUACUGCUUUGAAUAUCGUUGGUUCAAUAAAGGAAUUGAAAUGCACCAGCGGUUGUCUAACAUAGAAAGGAAUUGGCCUUACUACUUUGGGUUUGGUUUGCCCUUGGCUUUUCUCACAGCAAUGCAGUCCUCAUAUAUUAUCAGUGGCUGCCUUUUCUCUAUCCUCUUUCCUUUAUUCAUUAUCAGCGCCAAUGAAGCAAAGACCCCUGGCAAAGCGUAGUAAGUAUUAGCCAGUGAUGAAAUUUUUGCUGUGUAAAGGGUUGGGGCUGUAACACCAGUUAUGUCAGUGAGGCUUUAAAAAAAAAAAAAUUCUUACUGUAGGAAAAUCUUAAUAUAAGGUUUAAUGAGAGAGAAACACUUCUGGGAUAUAACCCAAACUUUCCUCCAUGCAUAUAUGCACAUGAGUAUAUAUAUAUUUCCAAAACCGAUCCCAUUAUACAUAUUCAAUUAGAGGGCUGUAUGACCUGGCCACAUGAGUUUAUUGAUAACAGUAGUAAAAUAUACUUUAAAAUGAGUUUUUAGCAAUAAUAGUAGCAUUCUAAAAGUUUUGUUACUUCAAAGAAAAGCUCAAUUAAUCUUUGAUCAAUUUUGGUUAAGUCAGUGUGGAUACUUGUAUUAGAGACUUAGGUCUGCUUUGGGUUUUUGUAUGCUCUUGCUAUACAGCACAGCUCACUGUUUAUCUUAAGAGGAAUAUUUGACUUUCUUUUGAAACUCUUCUUCCUGCAACCACAGACAGCAUAUGAUACCUUCAGACAUAGCUUGAAGUCUGUACCCCGAAGUCAGCCAUAGAAAAGUACUUCUCAAAUCAAAGUUAAUCUAAAAUAUAACUAUUUCCUGUAAGAGCCACAAUACUUCAACGCUGGUGACUGCAUUACAUUCAUGGCAGCAGCAGGGCCCAAUGCAUUCUUUUUUUUUUUGAGACGGAGUCUCGCUCUGUCACCCAAGCUGGAGUGCAGUGGCGUGAUCUCGGCUCACUGCAACCUCCGCCUACCAGGUUCAAGCGAUUCUCCUGCCUCAGCCUCCUGGGUAGCUGGGAUUGCAGGCGCAUGCUACCAUGCCCUGCUAAUUUUUUUCUCAAGUGAUCCACCUGCUUCAGCCUCCCAAAGUGCUGGGAUUACAGUCUCUUCCAGUUGCGCCUCUUCUCCUUGGUGGUCUUCUUAAGCAACAGACUCUUCCACAAGACAGUCUACCUGCAGUCGGCCCUGAGCAGCUCUACUUCUGCAGAGAAGUUCCCUUCACCGCAUCCGUCGCCUGCCAAACUGAAGGCUGCUGCAGGUCACUGAGUUGCCUGCCAUCCAAAGGGGAUGGGCGGGAUUGGAAGAAGCUGUGGCAGCUCUUUUCCCUGUUCACCUCCCCCCUGCCAGGGAAGGCAGGACCCACUCUGCCAAGGGCCCUCUGCAUAUUCCCUUCUCUCUGAGGAAUUGAAAUUUUUGUCUCUGGUGCACGUAAGGCAGAAUGUUCCCUGACACAAGUGUGUGGAUUUUUAACAUCACCGUGAGUCUGAAAGGACCACAGGUUUUUCUGCAGCUAUUUUCUAGCAUUUGCCAGUCCCUGUGCCUGGACUGAUUGGAACACUUUUUCUCCCUGUGCCAUUUACCCUUCCACCUUUCCAUCCUGCCUUCUACCACCCUUGGAUGAAUGGAUUUUGUAAUUCUAGCUGUUGUAUUUUGUGAAUUUGUUAAUUUUGUUGUUUUUCUGUGAAACACAUACAUUGGAUAUGGGAGGUAAAGGAGUGUCCCAGUUGCUCCUGGUCACUCCCUUUAUAGCCAUUACUGUCUUGUUUCUUGUAACUCAGGUUAGGUUUUGGUCUCUCUUGCUCCACUGCAAAAAAAAAAAAGCCUGAAGAGAUGAGAUAGGAGGAAAGACCUCACAGCCAGAUCUGCUGGGUUUUGAGGAGUGAUUUUCUUUCUUCCCCUUGAAGGGGAAAAAGCUAUUUUCACUGGUACAUUUAAAGUCCCCCAACUAUGGGGAGGUACCAAUUCUGGACAAGUGCCACUGCAACAACACUAAACCUGAACUUUUCAACUCCGUUGGUGGUGGGAGGCAGCGGGCAGAAAUUUACUGUUGGCCACUGCCAGGUCUGUUUCAUAUUUCAAAGGAAUAUUGGGUGCUGCACAUAGGAACUGAAGGGGUAAAUGUAUUAAACCUGUUAUUGGUUGUUUUCCUGUCAUUUUGAGAGACUAAAUGUGGGGGGCAGAUGUCAAAAUACUUGUACAAUUUUAAAAUGUCACAAUUAAACGUGAGCUGGUUUCCCACAAA